rnacentral:rRNA from 1 species
GCUGGCGNCGUGCUUANACAUGCAGUCGAGCGGUAAGGCCCUUCGGGGUACACGAAGCGGCGAACGGGUGAAGUAACACGUGAGCAACCUGCCCCUGACUCCGGGAUANGCGGUGGAAACGCCGUCUAAUACCGGAUACGACCCUCCGCCUCAUGGUGGUGGGUGGAAANGUUUUUCGGUCGGGGAUGGGCUCGCGGCCUAUCAGCUUGUUGGUGGGGUAACGGCCUACCAAGGCGAUUACGGGUAGCCGGCCUGAGAGGGCGACCGGCCACACUGGGACUGAGACACGGCCCAGACUCCUGCGGGAGGCAGCAGUGGGGAAUAUUGCGCAAUGGGCGAAAGCCUGACGCAGCGACGCCGCGUGGGGGAUGACGGCCUUCGGGUUGUAAACCUCUUUUACCACUCACGCAGGCUCCACGUUUUCGUGGGGUUGACGGUAGGUGGGGAAUAAGGACCGGCUAACUACGUGCCAGCAGCCGCGGUAAUACGUAGGGUCCGAGCGUUGUCCGGAAUUAUUGGGCGUAAAGAGCUCGUANGCGGCGUGUCGCGUCUGCUGUGAAAGACCGGGGCUUAACCCCGGUUCUGCAGUGGAUACGGGCAUGCUAGAGGUAGGUAGGGGANNNCUGGANNUUCC